UACAGAGGUCUCAAGCGUUGUUCGGAUUCAUUGGGCGUAAAGGGUGCGUAGGCGGCCGUUUGCGUCGGAUGUGAAAGCCCGGGGCUCAACCCCGGAACGGCAUCCGAUACGGGACGGCUGGAGACCGGGAGAGGAGGGUGGAAUAGCCAGUGUAGAGGUGAAAUUCGUAGAUAUUGGCUGGAACACCGGUGGCGAAAGCGGCUCUCUGGCCCGGUUCUGACGCUGAGGCGCGAAAGCGUGGGGAGCAAACAGG
rnacentral:rRNA from 1 species